CUUAGUUUGCAAGUUUAGCCUAUAUCUUGAAGUUUUGACAUUUCUUUCAAUUGUGACUUUAUUUCUCAAAUGUGAUCGCUAUAUCUCUUAGUUUGCAAGUUUAGCCUAUAUCUUGAAGUUUUGACAUUUCUUUCAAUUGUGACUUUAUUUUUCAAAUGUGAUCGCUAUAUCUCUUAGUUUGCAAGUUUAGCCUAUAUCUUGAAGUUUUGACAUUUCUUUCAAUUGUGACUUUAUUUCUCAAAUGUGAUCGCUAUAUCUCUUAGUUUGCGAGUUUAGCCUAUAUCUUGAGGUUUUGACAUUUCUUUCAAUUGUGACUUUAUUUUUCAAAUGUGAUCGCUAUAUCUCUUAGUUUGCAAGUUUAGCCUAUAUCUUGAAGUU